rnacentral:rRNA from 1 species
UACGUAGGGGGCGAGCGUUGUCCGGAUUCAUUGGGCGUAAAGCGCUUUAAGGCGGUUCGCUAAGUCGGGUGUGAAACCUCCAGGCUCAACCUGGAGACGCCACUCGAUACUGGCGUGACUAGAGUCCGGUAGGGGACCACGGAAUUCCUGGUGUAGCGGUGAAAUGCGCAGAUAUCAGGAGGAACACCAGUGGCGAAGGCGGUGGUCUGGGACGGAACUGACGCUGUAGAGCGAAAGCGUGGGGAGCGAACAGG